ACGAACGCUGGCGGCAGGUUUAACACAUGCAAGUCGAGCGCCUCGCAAGAGGAGCGGCAGACGGGUGAGUAACGCGUGGGAAUCUACCCAUCCUUACGGAACAACUCCGGGAAACUGGAAGCUAAUACCGUAUACGCCCUUCGGGGGAAAGAUUUAUCGAGGAUGGAUGAGCCCGCGUUGGAUUAGCUAGUUGGUGGGGUAAAGGCCUACCAAGGCGACGAUCCAUAGCUGGUCUGAGAGGAUGAUCAGCCACAUUGGGACUGAGACACGGCCCAAACUCCUACGGGAGGCAGCAGUGGGGAAUAUUGGACAAUGGGCGCAAGCCUGAUCCAGCCAUGCCGCGUGAGUGAUGAAGGCCCUAGGGUUGUAAAGCUCUUUCACCGGAGAAGAUAAUGACGGUAUCCGGAGAAGAAGCCCCGGCUAACUUCGUGCCAGCAGCCGCGGUAAUACGAAAGGGGGCUAGCGUUGUUCGGAUUUACUGGGCGUAAAGCGCACGUAGGCGGAUCGAUCAGUCAGGGGUGAAAUCCCAGAGCUCAACUCUGGAACUGCCUUUGAUACUGUCGAUCUGGAGUAUGGAAGAAGGUGAGUGGAAUUCCGAGUGUAGAGGUGAAAUUCGUAGAUAUUCGGAGGAACACCAGUGGCGAAGGCGSCUCACUGGUCCAUUACUGACCGCUGAGGUGGCGAAAGSGUGGGGGAAGCAAACAGAAUUAGAUACCCUGGUAGUCCACGCCGUAAACGAUGAAUGUUAACCGUCGGCGCAGUAUACGUGUUCGGUGGCGCAGCUAACGCAUAUAACAUCCGCGCUGGAGGAUUACGCGUGCCAGAGAUAUAA
rnacentral:rRNA from 1 species